rnacentral:rRNA from 1 species
CCUACGGGGGGCAGCAGUGGGGAAUAUUGCACAAUGGGCACAAGCCUGAUGCAGCCAUGCCGCGUGUGUGAAGAAGGCCUUCGGGUUGUAAAGCACUUUCAGCGGGGAGGAAGGCGGUGAGGUUAAUAACCUCAUCGAUUGACGUUACCCGCAGAAGAAGCACCGGCUAACUCCGUGCCAGCAGCCGCGGUAAUACGGAGGGUGCAAGCGUUAAUCGGAAUUACUGGGCGUAAAGCGCACGCAGGCGGUCUGUCAAGUCGGAUGUGAAAUCCCCGGGCUCAACCUGGGAACUGCAUUCGAAACUGGCAGGCUAGAGUCUUGUAGAGGGGGGUAGAAUUCCAGGUGUAGCGGUGAAAUGCGUAGAGAUCUGGAGGAAUACCGGUGGCGAAGGCGGCCCCCUGGACAAAGACUGACGCUCAGGUGCGAAAGCGUGGGGAGCAAACAGGAUUAGAUACCCCAGUAGUC